rnacentral:rRNA from 1 species
CUACAGGGGGCUGCAGUGAGGAAUAUUGCACAAUGGGGGGAACCCUGAUGCAGCAACGCCGCGUGGAGGAUGACGCAUUUCGGUGUGUAAACUCCUUUUAUAUGUCAAGAAAAUGACGGUAGCAUAUGAAUAAGCACCGGCUAACUCCGUGCCAGCAGCCGCGGUAAUACGGAGGGUGCAAGCGUUACUCGGAAUCACUGGGCGUAAAGGACGCGUAGGCGGGUUGGAAAGUCAGGUGUGAAAUCCUACAGCUUAACUGUAGAACUGCACUUGAAACUUCUAAUCUAGAGUAUGGGAGGGGGAGAUGGAAUUAGUGGUGUAGGGGUAAAAUCCGUAGAUAUCACUAGGAAUACCUAAAGCGAAGGCGAUCUCCUGGAACAUUACUGACGCUAAGGCGUGAAAGCGUGGGGAGCAAACAGGAUUAGAUACCCGUGAGUC